GAAAACCCGCAAGGGAGGCUUAGGAAAAAAUGGGUAUCCCGGUGGAUUGAAAACCCGAAAGGGCGAUCCAGGCAAAAAAGGGAUUAAGGCGAAGACUACAGUCUGAGUUAUUUGUACUUCAUCACGCUUUGUUGUCUACCAUCUCGAAGGAUAUGAUCAGUCCAGUCAUUCUGCUCAGAAAGCAAGGAAGGGGGAGAAAUUGAUGAUCUGUGAGUCAUAACAGAAUUGGGAAAUAGUGGAUGCCGU
rnacentral:lncRNA from 1 species